rnacentral:rRNA from 1 species
UGAGGAAUAUUGGUCAAUGGCCGGGAGGCUGAACCAGCCAAGUCGCGUGAGGGAAGACGGCCCUACGGGUUGUAAACCUCUUUUGUCAGGGAGCAAGGGGCGGGUCGGGACCUGCUGUGAGAGUUACCUGAAGAAAAAGCAUCGGCUAACUCCGUGCC